UUAAGCGACUAAGCGUACACGGUGGAUGCCCUGGCAGUCAGAGGCGAUGAAGGACGUGCUAAUCUGCGAUAAGCGUCGGUGAGGUGAUAUGAACCGUUAUAACCGGCGAUUUCCGAAUGGGGAAACCCAGUGUGUUUCGACACACUAUCAUUAACUGAAUCCAUAGGUUAAUGAGGCGAACCGGGGGAACUGAAACAUCUAAGUACCCCGAGGAAAAGAAAUCAACCGAGAUUCCCCCAGUAGCGGCGAGCGAACGGGGAGGAGCCCAGAGCCUGAAUCAGUGUGUGUGUUAGUGGAAGCGUCUGGAAAGGCGCGCGAUACAGGGUGACAGCCCCGUACACAAAAAUGCACAUGCUGUGAGCUCGAUGAGUAGGGCGGGACACGUGGUAUCCUGUCUGAAUAUGGGGGGACCAUCCUCCAAGGCUAAAUACUCCUGACUGACCGAUAGUGAACCAGUACCGUGAGGGAAAGGCGAAAAGAACCCCGGCGAGGGGAGUGAAAAAGAACCUGAAACCGUGUACGUACAAGCAGUGGGAGCCUCUUUUAUGGGGUGACUGCGUACCUUUUGUAUAAUGGGUCAGCGACUUAUAUUCUGUAGCAAGGUUAACCGAAUAGGGGAGCCGAAGGGAAACCGAGUCUUAACUGGGCGUUAAGUUGCAGGGUAUAGACCCGAAACCCGGUGAUCUAGCCAUGGGCAGGUUGAAGGUUGGGUAACACUAACUGGAGGACCGAACCGACUAAUGUUGAAAAAUUAGCGGAUGACUUGUGGCUGGGGGUGAAAGGCCAAUCAAACCGGGAGAUAGCUGGUUCUCCCCGAAAGCUAUUUAGGUAGCGCCUCGUGAAUUCAUCUCCGGGGGUAGAGCACUGUUUCGGCAAGGGGGUCAUCCCGACUUACCAACCCGAUGCAAACUGCGAAUACCGGAGAAUGUUAUCACGGGAGACACACGGCGGGUGCUAACGUCCGUCGUGAAGAGGGAAACAACCCAGACCGCCAGCUAAGGUCCCAAAGUCAUGGUUAAGUGGGAAACGAUGUGGGAAGGCCCAGACAGCCAGGAUGUUGGCUUAGAAGCAGCCAUCAUUUAAAGAAAGCGUAAUAGCUCACUGGUCGAGUCGGCCUGCGCGGAAGAUGUAACGGGGCUAAACCAUGCACCGAAGCUGCGGCAGCGACGCUUAUGCGUUGUUGGGUAGGGGAGCGUUCUGUAAGCCUGUGAAGGUGUGCUGUGAGGCAUGCUGGAGGUAUCAGAAGUGCGAAUGCUGACAUAAGUAACGAUAAAGCGGGUGAAAAGCCCGCUCGCCGGAAGACCAAGGGUUCCUGUCCAACGUUAAUCGGGGCAGGGUGAGUCGACCCCUAAGGCGAGGCCGAAAGGCGUAGUCGAUGGGAAACAGGUUAAUAUUCCUGUACUUGGUGUUACUGCGAAGGGGGGACGGAGAAGGCUAUGUUGGCCGGGCGACGGUUGUCCCGGUUUAAGCGUGUAGGCUGGUUUUCCAGGCAAAUCCGGAAAAUCAAGGCUGAGGCGUGAUGACGAGGCACUACGGUGCUGAAGCAACAAAUGCCCUGCUUCCAGGAAAAGCCUCUAAGCAUCAGGUAACAUCAAAUCGUACCCCAAACCGACACAGGUGGUCAGGUAGAGAAUACCAAGGCGCUUGAGAGAACUCGGGUGAAGGAACUAGGCAAAAUGGUGCCGUAACUUCGGGAGAAGGCACGCUGAUAUGUAGGUGAAGCGACUUGCUCGUGGAGCUGAAAUCAGUCGAAGAUACCAGCUGGCUGCAACUGUUUAUUAAAAACACAGCACUGUGCAAACACGAAAGUGGACGUAUACGGUGUGACGCCUGCCCGGUGCCGGAAGGUUAAUUGAUGGGGUUAGCGGCAACGCGAAGCUCUUGAUCGAAGCCCCGGUAAACGGCGGCCGUAACUAUAACGGUCCUAAGGUAGCGAAAUUCCUUGUCGGGUAAGUUCCGACCUGCACGAAUGGCGUAAUGAUGGCCAGGCUGUCUCCACCCGAGACUCAGUGAAAUUGAACUCGCUGUGAAGAUGCAGUGUACCCGCGGCAAGACGGAAAGACCCCGUGAACCUUUACUAUAGCUUGACACUGAACAUUGAGCCUUGAUGUGUAGGAUAGGUGGGAGGCUUUGAAGUGUGGACGCCAGUCUGCAUGGAGCCGACCUUGAAAUACCACCCUUUAAUGUUUGAUGUUCUAACGUUGGCCCGUAAUCCGGGUUGCGGACAGUGUCUGGUGGGUAGUUUGACUGGGGCGGUCUCCUCCUAAAGAGUAACGGAGGAGCACGAAGGUUGGCUAAUCCUGGUCGGACAUCAGGAGGUUAGUGCAAUGGCAUAAGCCAGCUUGACUGCGAGCGUGACGGCGCGAGCAGGUGCGAAAGCAGGUCAUAGUGAUCCGGUGGUUCUGAAUGGAAGGGCCAUCGCUCAACGGAUAAAAGGUACUCCGGGGAUAACAGGCUGAUACCGCCCAAGAGUUCAUAUCGACGGCGGUGUUUGGCACCUCGAUGUCGGCUCAUCACAUCCUGGGGCUGAAGUAGGUCCCAAGGGUAUGGCUGUUCGCCAUUUAAAGUGGUACGCGAGCUGGGUUUAGAACGUCGUGAGACAGUUCGGUCCCUAUCUGCCGUGGGCG
rnacentral:rRNA from 1 species